UACAGAGGGGGCAAGCGUUGUUCGGAAUUACUGGGCGUAAAGGGCGCGUAGGCGGCCCGCUAAGUCGAACGUGAAAUCCCCGGGCUCAACCCGGGAACUGCGUCCGAUACUGGCAGGCUUGAAUUCGGGAGAGGGAUGUGGAAUUCCAGGUGUAGCGGUGAAAUGCGUAGAUAUCUGGAGGAACACCGGUGGCGAAGGCGGCAUCCUGGACCGAUAUUGACGCUGAUGCGCGAAAGCCAGGGGAGCAAACGGG
rnacentral:rRNA from 1 species